GGUGGGCGUGGCUCAGUGGUAGAGCAUCUGCUUUGCGUGCAGACGGUCCUAGGUUCAAGCCCCAGCACCCCCA